rnacentral:rRNA from 1 species
GAUGAACGCUGGCGGCGUGCCUAAUACAUGCAAGUCGAACGAGUUCUGAUUAUUGAAAGGUGCUUGCAUCUUGAUUUAAUUUUGAACGAGUGGCGGACGGGUGAGUAACACGUGGGUAACCUGCCCUUAAGUGGGGGAUAACAUUUGGAAACAGAUGCUAAUACCGCAUAAAUCCAAGAACCGCAUGGUUCUUGGCUGAAAGAUGGCGUAAGCUAUCGCUUUUGGAUGGACCCGCGGCGUAUUAGCUAGUUGGUGAGGUAACGGCUCACCAAGGCAAUGAUACGUAGCCGAACUGAGAGGUUGAUCGGCCACAUUGGGACUGAGACACGGCCCAAACUCCUACGGGAGGCAGCAGUAGGGAAUCUUCCACAAUGGACGCAAGUCUGAUGGAGCAACGCCGCGUGAGUGAAGAAGGCUUUCGGGUCGUAAAACUCUGUUGUUGGAGAAGAAUGGUCGGCAGAGUAACUGUUGUCGGCGUGACGGUAUCCAACCAGAAAGCCACGGCUAACUACGUGCCAGCAGCCGCGGUAAUACGUAGGUGGCAAGCGUUAUCCGGAUUUAUUGGGCGUAAAGCGAGCGCAGGCGGUUUUUUAAGUCUGAUGUGAAAGCCCUCGGCUUAACCGAGGAAGUGCAUCGGAAACUGGGAAACUUGAGUGCAGAAGAGGACAGUGGAACUCCAUGUGUAGCGGUGAAAUGCGUAGAUAUAUGGAAGAACACCAGUGGCGAAGGCGGCUGUCUGGUCUGUAACUGACGCUGAGGCUCGAAAGCAUGGGUAGCGAACAGGAUUAGAUACCCUGGUAGUCCAUGCCGUAAACGAUGAAUGCUAGGUGUUGGAGGGUUUCCGCCCUUCAGUGCCGCAGCUAACGCAUUAAGCAUUCCGCCUGGGGAGUACGACCGCAAGGUUGAAACUCAAAGGAAUUGACGGGGGCCCGCACAAGCGGUGGAGCAUGUGGUUUAAUUCGAAGCAACGCGAAGAACCUUACCAGGUCUUGACAUCUUUUGAUCACCUGAGAGAUCAGGUUUCCCCUUCGGGGGCAAAAUGACAGGUGGUGCAUGGUUGUCGUCAGCUCGUGUCGUGAGAUGUUGGGUUAAGUCCCGCAACGAGCGCAACCCUUAUGACUAGUUGCCAGCAUUUAGUUGGGCACUCUAGUAAGACUGCCGGUGACAAACCGGAGGAAGGUGGGGAUGACGUCAAAUCAUCAUGCCCCUUAUGACCUGGGCUACACACGUGCUACAAUGGAUGGUACAACGAGUUGCGAGACCGCGAGGUCAAGCUAAUCUCUUAAAGCCAUUCUCAGUUCGGACUGUAGGCUGCAACUCGCCUACACGAAGUCGGAAUCGCUAGUAAUCGCGGAUCAGCACGCCGCGGUGAAUACGUUCCCGGGCCUUGUACACACCGCCCGUCACACCAUGAGAGUUUGUAACACCCGAAGCCGGUGGAGUAACCCUUUUAGGGAGCGAGCCGUCUAAGGUGGGA